rnacentral:rRNA from 1 species
UAAGACGAACCGUGCGAACGUUGUUCGGAUUCACUGGGCUUAAAGGGCGCGUAGGCGGGCGAUCAAGUCAGGGGUGAAAUCUUUCGGCCCAACCGGAAAAGUGCCUCUGAUACUGGUCGUCUCGAGGGAGGUAGGGGCGUGUGGAACUUCCGGUGGAGCGGUGAAAUGCGUAGAUAUCGGAAGGAACGCCGGUGGCGAAAGCGACGCGCUGGACCUCUUCUGACGCUGAGGCGCGAAAGCCAGGGGAGCAAACGGGAUUAGAUACCCCGGUAGUCCUGGCCCUAAACGAUGGGUACUAGGUAGUGGACUUGAUCUGGGUUCACUGCCGAAGCAAAAGUGUUAAGUACCCCGCCUGGGGAGUAUGGUCGCAAGGCUG